GCCCCCGUGGCGUUUAGGGGAAGAAUAAUCCUGCCCAUCAGCGGGAGAUCCUGGUUCGACUCCAGGCUGGGUCA